ACAAAGAUAGUUUAAUUAGAAUGUAAAAUUGUCGAUUUUGUGGUGCCUCUUGGUUCUUUGUU
rnacentral:tRNA from 1 species